GUUGAUGACGCUGAGGGUCCACCUGUUCCCAUACCGAACACAGAAGUUAAGCUCAGUGGUGCCGAAAAUACUUGGCUGGUGACGGCCCGGGAAGAUAGGGAGAUGCCAACA
rnacentral:rRNA from 1 species